rnacentral:rRNA from 1 species
GACGAACGCUGGCGGCGUGCCUAAUACAUGCAAGUUGAGCGAUGAAGAUUGGUGCUUGCACCAAUUUGAAGAGCAGCGCACGGGUGAGUAACGCGUGGGGAAUCUGCCUUUGAGCGGGGGACAACAUUUGGAAACGAAUGCUAAUACCGCAUAACAACUUUAAACAUAAGUUUUAAGUUUGAAAGAUGCAAUUGCAUCACUCAAAGAUGAUCCCGCGUUGUAUUAGCUAGUUGGUGAGGUAAAGGCUCACCAAGGCGAUGAUACAUAGCCGACCUGAGAGGGUGAUCGGCCACAUUGGGACUGAGACACGGCCCAAACGCCGACGGGAGGCAGCAGUAGGGAAUCUUCGGCAAUGGACGAAAGUCUGACCGAGCAACGCCGCGUGAGUGAAGAAGGUUUUCGGAUCGUAAAACUCUGUUGGUAGAGAAGAACGUUGGUGAGAGUGGAAAGCUCAUCAAGUGACGGUAACUACCCAGAAAGGGACGGCUAACUACGUG